rnacentral:rRNA from 1 species
AACGAACGCUGGCGGCAUGCCUAACACAUGCAAGUCGAACGAGACCUUCGGGUCUAGUGGCGCCCGGGUGCGUAACGCGUGGUAACCUGCCCUUAGGUUCGGAAUAACUCCCCGAAAGGGGUGCUAAUACCGGAUAAUGUCUUCGGACCAAAGAUUUAUCGCCUUUGGAUGGGCCCGCGUUGGAUUAGCUAGUUGGUAGGGUAAAAGCCUACCAAGGCGACGAUCCAUAGCUGGUCUGAGAGGAUGAUCAGCCACACUGGGACUGAGACACGGCCCAGAAUCCUACGGGAGGCAGCAGUGGGGAAUAUUGGAAAAUGGGCGAAAGGAUGAUCCAGCAAUGCCGCGUGAGUGAUGAAGGACUUAGGGUUGUAAAGCUGGUUUACCCGGGAUGAUAAUGACAGUACCGGGAGAAUAAGCUCCGGCUAACUACGUG